GAGAGAGGCCAGGUCUUGAGGACAUCACUUGAGGCCCCAGGCUUUGCUUAAGUCUGUUCAAAGGUCCAUUUACUCAUGUAAGUGACUUGUAACAGCAAGGGUCUUGGCAACACUACUGGAAGAGGGAGAACAGGGAGAGGAUGGGCAGGGGAUGAGUUUCACCCUGGACACAUGGAACAGGGGGCCCUGUGGGACCGCCAGUGAGCAGUGUUGGAAAGGCAGAGACUUGGCAGUCCCUCCUGUGGGGAUGAUAGUUUAAAUAUUCCUCGGAGUAAAUGACGGCGCCCAGAGACGGCGUGAAGUGAGGAGAGACGUGGGCUAAGGUCAGAACCUGGGGCGACCUGACGGAGGGACAGGGAGAGGAAGAGGAGCCGGGGAAGGUCAGUGAGGAGGUGAGGAUGGCAGAGCGAAUGUUCUGGAAGGGGAAGCCGGACCAUGGUGUCCAGCUCUGCUCUGAGGUCAGGUUGGCCAAGAGUGAAAAGAAGCCGCUGGAUUUGGAAACUAGGCCGCUGCUGACCUGCGGCGCAGUGGGUGUUGACAUAGGAUCCAAAGUUUCCUGUUUUGAGUUUUUUUCACUCCCAAUCCAACCAGGCUACUGGAAGAUGGAGAACAGGGAGAGGAUGGACAGGGGAGGCACUGGGGAUUGAAGCCAGGACCUUGUGCACGCUGAGCACAUGCUCUCCCACUGAGCUGUACCCGCCCACCCAGUAUACACAGUAAUGAGACAUUUUGUAAUAUAUUAAAAAUAAGAUAUUCUUACUUUGCGUCUUCAAAACCUUGUGUGGAUUGUACACUCAGCAUCUCAGUUCAGACUGGGCA